rnacentral:rRNA from 1 species
AGCGAACGCUGGCGGCGUGCCUAACACAUGCAAGUCGAGCGGACCGUCUUGGGGCAACUUGAGACGGUUAGCGGCGGAAGGGUGAGUAACACGUGGGUAACCUACCCGGGAGACUGGGAUAACAUCUCGAAAGGGGUGCUAAUACCAGAUACGGUCCUUCGGGCGCAAGCUCGGGGGAGGAAAGGUCGCGCAAGCAAUCACUCCCGGAUGGGCCCGCGGCACAUUAGCUAGUUGGCGGGGUAAUGGCCCACCAAGGCAACGAUGGGUAGCCGGCCUGAGAGGGUGGUCGGCCACACUGGGACUGAGACACGGCCCAGACUCCUACGGGAGGCAGCAGUGGGGAAUUUUCCGCAAUGGGCGAAAGCCUGACGGAGCGACGCCGCGUGGGGGAUGAAGGCCUUCGGGUUGUAAACCCCUGUCAUGGGGAAAGAUGGGCAUGGCGGUGAAUAGCCGUCGUGUCUGACGGUACCCCAAGAGGAAGCCACGGCUAACUCCGUGCCAGCAGCCGCGGUAAUAC